rnacentral:rRNA from 1 species
CGUUAAUCGGAAUUACUGGGCGUAAAGGGCUCGUAGGCGGCCAACUAAGUCAGACGUGAAAUCCCUCGGCUUAACCGGGGAACUGCAUCUGAUACUGGAUGGCUUGAGUUCGGGAGAGGGAUGCGGAAUUCCAGGUGUAGCGGUGAAAUGCGUAGAUAUCGGGAGGAACACCUGUGGCGAAGGCGGCCAUCUGGACAGUCACUGACACUGAGACGCGAAAGCGUGGGUAGCAAACAGG